GCCAGGCAAGGUUUUCAUGCCUGUAAUCCCAGCAGCUCUGGAGGCUGAGGCAGGAGGAUCACGAAUUCAAAGCCAGCCUCGGCAUCCCAGUGAAGCUCUAAGCAACUCAGUGAGACCCUGUCUCUA
rnacentral:sRNA from 1 species